rnacentral:rRNA from 1 species
CAGCCACACUGGAACUGAGACACGGUCCAGACUCCUACGGGAGGCAGCAGUGGGGAAUAUUGCACAAUGGGCGCAAGCCUGAUGCAGCCAUGCCGCGUGUAUGAAGAAGGCCUUCGGGUUGUAAAGUACUUUCAGCGGGGAGGAAGGCGAUAAGGUUAAUAACCUUGUCGAUUGACGUUACCCGCAGAAGAAGCACCGGCUAACUCCGUGCCAGCAGCCGCGGUAAUACGGA